rnacentral:rRNA from 1 species
GAUGAACGCUAGCUACAGGCUUAACACAUGCAAGUCGAGGGACCGGCGCACGGGUGAGUAACACGUAUCCAACCUGCCCUUUACUCGGCGAUAGCCUUUCGAAAGAAAGAUUAAUACCCGAUAUAAAGCAUGGGGAUGCGUUCCAUUAGGUUGUUGGUGAGGUAACGGCCCACCAAGCCUUCGAUGGAUAGGGGUUCUGAGAGGAAGGGCACCCACAUUGGAACGGAAGAACGAUCCAAACUCCUACGGGAGGAGGAAGUGAGGAAAAUAGGGGAAGGGGCGGUAGCGUGAAGCAGGCAAGGAGCGUGAAGGAUAAAGGAUUAUGGGUAGUUAAAUUCUUUUAAAAAAGAGAGUGUAUUAUAUGAGUAAGAAUCGGCUAACGCCGUGCCAGCAGCCGCGGUAAUUC